UUAUGGAGGUAGAAAAGAUGGUGGAAUGAGAUGGACAUCAUUACCCUAGGUACAUGUAUGAUUGCAUAAAUGGUGUGUCUCUACACUGUGUACAACCAGAGAAUUGAAAUGUUGAACUCCAUUUGUGUAUGAUGAAUUGAAAUGCAUUCGUCUGUCAUGUACAACUAAGUAGAACAAAUUAAAAAAGAAAAAGAAUCGGUGGUAGCGUAGACAUGGUCGAUCAAGUCAGAGGUGGUGAUUUACAGCUUGAGGGGAACUAGAACAGGGUUCAUGAAAGGGAAAAUAUUUAAGCUGGACCUUGAUGGAAGAUUAUAAAGGGAAGGAAGAUUAUAAAGGGAAUCUCAAGAAAAUUGUAGCAAGCAGGAAGUGGAGGUGGCCUGUCUUGAGCAGUGAGUUGUCAGGAUAAUAAAUGAAAAAGUGAGCUGCAAGACUUGGGCCAGUGGGCUCGGGAUAUAACUUAGUUAGUAGAGUGCUUGCCUUGCAUGCAUAAGGCCCUGGGAUUCAAUCUCCAGCAACACACAAACACACACAUAAAGAUGCAGCCAGAGGCUAACUCUGAACCUUACUAAACCUGUUGGGGUUUUACUCCAUAAAAGAGAAGUGCAAGUAAUUAGUACAGAGACAUGGCUAGGGGUGAUAGGAAGACCAAUCAGAUAGGAGAAGCAAACUAAAAAAGAAUGUUAUCAACCAUGUAAAUAUUUUGGUAGUUUGAAUAUUGAUGCUAUUGGCAAUUUUAAGCAGAUUUGAUUUAUAGAAGUUGAGGACAGGUUGCAAAUAGCUGAGGUAGUAAGUGAACUGUGAGGAUGUAUUUCACCAUAGAUUUCAACUUAUAAAGGAAAAGUAAACUUUAUUUUUUUUAAUUUGGGGGGGGGGGGUUGUAGAUGGAUACAAUACCUUUAUCUUAUUUAUUUAUUUUUAAAUGGUGCUGAGGAUCGAACCCAGUGUCUCCCACGUGCCAGGCAAGUGUGCUACCACUGAGCCACGACCCCAGCCCUGGAAAAGUAAACUUUAUCAUGAAAAAGUAUUAUAAGUCUAGGAAGGGAUGGAGAUGGGAGAGGUUGGCAAAGGAAAAACCAGAACAUGACUGUAGAGUACUAAAAGACAAGCCAAAAAAUGAACAACUUGAAGCUGUGCAUCAGAAACCAUGAUCAGAUACCCAAAGCAAUGGGUAUCAUGCUUUGUAAAGAUGGCCAUUCCAGGGCUGGGAUGUGGCUCAAGUGGUAGCGCGCUCGCCUGGCAUGCGUGCAGCCCGGGUUCAAUCCUCAGCACCACAUACAAACAAUGAUGUUGUGUCUGCCGAAAAAAACUAAAAAAUAAAUAUUUAAAAAAUUCUCUCUCUCUCUCUCUCUCUCUCUCUCUCUCUCUCUCUCUCUCUCUCUCUCUCUCUCUCUUUAAAAAAAAAAAAGAUGGCCAUUCCAUUUCAAUACAUGUUUUUGUGGUCUGACAACAAUUAUAGUGUCAUGUUUUUUAGACAGCACACUAAAAUAGGGAUAUCAGCUAAAGUGUGUUUGAUUUCAAAAGUCAUUAGGAUUUCUUUUGAAUAAUACAAUAAUAAUUGUAUUAUUACCAAUUUUGUAGCAAAUUCUCUGUAGUGAUUAUUAAAAUAAAUAUAGGGACUGGGGUUGUGGUUCAGUGGUAGAGCGCUUGCCUAGCAUAUGUGAAUCACUGGUUUUGAUUCUCAGCACCAUAUAUAAAUAAAGGUCCAAUGACAACUAAAAAAUAUUUUUUAAAGUAGAUAAAUAAAUAUAAUGAAGAAAUGAUUUUUCUUAAUCAUAUGUGUUAGGUAACAUACAGAAAAUAUGUGGUUUGGGGUUAAAAUUUUGAACUUCUUUCUAAAAGAGUAAAUAGGAAAUAUCUGUAAUGAAUUCCUGCUAUUGACUGCCCUGUGUCCUUUUCUAUUUCUUGGAGAAGUAGCCUGAAUUUCUUUCAAAACCUACCUCUUCCCUCCAUUCUCAGCUUUAUGAUUUAGAAGGAACCGGCCUCACCUCCCCAAAGAUUAGCCCUGAUUGGCAAGGCCAAUCUGAAGGUACUAUCUCUGCUAAUGAUAAUGGCCAGUUUGGAAAUGACAGUUAUUUAAUUCAAUCAAAGUAACACUUAAAGAUCUUUUUCCUGAGUAUGUUGACAGAUGUUUCUUUUUGCUGUUUCUUGAAUGAGGAUGCAUAUAACUCUCCGACCUCCUGGAAACCAAUUUAAGAUCAUGAAUUGGGUGAAAUUUGUCCAAAAUAGAGUCAACAUCAAUGAAGCAACUAUAGGAGAUUGACAGAAACCAUGUUCUAAGUCACAUUUAUGGAAUUCUGAAUCAACUCGCCAUCUAUCCAUCAACAUAUAUCCCUGAAGUUUUCAGGGUGAACAAUAAAUUUUCUUCAUUUAAAAGUUGG
rnacentral:lncRNA from 1 species